CAAUGGUAUGAAGAUGGGAAGCUAUUGAAGAAGAUCCAACACUUUCACUGACUUCGUUGCCUGUGCUGAGCAUGAAAGAAACAUUUUGUACCAGCGGGAGAAGUGCAGAUGGCAUGUUGAUGCGUGUUGUCCUAAAUAUGAGGCCCGACUUAUUCAAGCCAACUAUUGCUGGGGUGCCUUUAGUUGAUGUUCGCACAACUAUGCUUGAUCCAACUCUCCCGUUGACUGCAGCUGAAUGGGAGGCUAGGAUUAACUUGGGAGGGUCUUAAGAGCAGGAAAUGAUUGCCUUUCUAACAAGGUUUCUCUAAAAGGAUAUUCACCAGAAAAGUGGACCAUAGAUGAGAGUGCUGAACCAUAGAUGGAGAUAGUGCUGAAUUAAAAGCCUACGGGCUUGUUGGACAAUCGUCAUCGGCCAGGGUGGAGGCUUGUGGAUUUACUGGUUUACUGAACUAAAGCUUUUUUUUGCAUACACUUAUGUACUGAUCUCCAUUGCAAGAGUUGCCUGAUGUGUUCACCUCUAAAAAUGCAGUGCUGCCUACCAAGGGAAGAUUGUGUGUGCCUGAAAAUUGCUCCCUGCAAUUUGUGGGGCGGAAUAAAUUUUUGGUUGUACAUGCAUCCAAAUGUCUGUCCUAAGAUUUAUGUUGUACACUUGUAAUCUCCGCCACGCCCGUUGCCAGCGCCCAGCAAGGUACCUUCCCAAAUUCUGAUCUGGUGGCAAUAUU